CGUAGGGAGGGGGAGGGCUUUGGGGGCUGGAGCCCCCCUUUCUCUGCAAAAACUACACUAAGAGCCCCACCUUCUCUGAUGAGUCUUCAGCCUGGGAAUUACUGGUAUAGAUUAGUGGCAGACAAACAGCAUGUCCAAGAGCUAGCUAUACUAUACUAGUAACUUUGAUUCUUUAGUGCAACAGAACUAAGCUAGCUAGCUACGGCUAGCUAGCUAGCUUUAGCAGUAUUAUUAAUUGAAGCAAGGUGUGGCUAUUUCUUGCACAUGCGCAAUGAGUCAUUAAUUAGGGGGUGUGGCUCCUGGUCACCGGAAUUUUCGUAGCCUCGAUCCCAGGCCGAGUUUUCGCUUUUAUAACGGUUAGGCGAACAACUGGGCCUGGUACUAGUUGUCUGCGCAUGCGUCAAUCGUUUGUCAGAUUCUGACAAAUGGAUAUUCUUGUUCACUUUUGUGACAUUUAUAUUCGUGUACUAUCGUGUACUAGAAGUCAGUUCCCGUUUUAUCAUUAUUGGAAUCGAUUGGAAUGGCUCUUAGCUGAAGCUUCUCUCUUCUCUGAAGCUUAUUCUGAAGACUGAACAACAAGGGAAGAGGUAUAAAGCUUUGUCAAGCUUGUUAAGGUCAGAUAUUUUUGUGUGGGCCCUAUGGCCGGCUAUGCUAUCAAGUCUUGUUCAUGUUUGGCAAGAAUGUAGGUAGACUAUAGUUUCAUCAUUAAUAUGGUGGAUCAAGUGAAGAGUGUGAGCUAGAGAACUUGGUGCUGCCAUCAUCAGCUCGUCGACAAUGACACUAUAACCGAGAAAUUUAAUAUGUAUAGAUCUACACGUAUUUAAAAUGUCUACUUCUCUGUACAGGAGCAAUGGCUAAUAUCCAGCUAUCCCAACAGUGCUCCUCUUGGCUAUACUAACGGACGAGACUGGACAGUUUGAGACACAGGACUGGAGUAUGACCUGCUCAUUCGAGCGUUGCUGGGUAGCUCAGAGACAUCAAGAGAAUCUACGUUUUCUCAAGCAAUGAGUUACGAGUUGGGGCCUAGAAUCAGAGAAGUCCAGCAGCCUGCUAAAUCUUUUUGAAACGUAAUUUGAAGGCAUUCAAUCAUCCUGAAGUUGCCCUGGGUCACUGUAAUUGUGCUGCAGCACAACUGGCAACUCCCCAGGCCUUUGUGAAGCAGCUCCCUAUGUGCAUCUUUUGUGUACUCACUCUGUGCAUUUUCUGUGUACAAAUUUCCAUUAUUGAUUUAUUAAAUAUUUUUGCCGACCACAAA